rnacentral:tRNA from 1 species
CAUUCCUAGAGUGUUACUGGACAGCAUGUCGGUCUCCAAAACCGUACGGUCUAGGUUCGAGUCCUAGUAGGUUUGCCAA